AGCAGCCGCGGUAAUUCCAGCUCCAAUAGCGUAUAUUAAAGUUGUUGCAGUUAAAAAGCUCGUAGUUGAAUUUCGGGAUUGACACAUCGGUCGUGCCUUAAGGGGUAUGAACUGGUGUAGUCAAUUUCUCACCUUCUGGAGAACCGCGAUGUCCUUAAUUGGGUGCCGCGAGGAACCAGGACCUUUACUUUGAAAAAUUAGAGUGUUUAAAGCAGGCAUUUUUGCUUGAAUACAUUAGCAUGGAAUAAUAAAAUAGGACGGCAUGAUUCUAUUUGUUGGUUUCUAGGAUCACCGUAAUGAUUAAUAGGGAUAGUUGGGGGGCAUUAGUAUUCAAUUGUCAGAGGUGAAAUUCUUGGAUUUUAUUGAAGACUAACUACUGCGAAAGCAUUUGCCAAGGAUGUUUUCAUUAAUCAAGAACGAAAGUUAGGGGAUACGAAGACGAUCAGAUACCGUCGUAGUCUUAACCAUAAACUAAUGCCGACUAGGAAUCAGACGAUGUAAUUUUAAUGUA
rnacentral:rRNA from 1 species